UCCUGAUUAGCUCAGAUGUUAGAGCGCUCCACCUGUAAUGGAGAGGUUUUGGGUUCAAUACCAGGACCAGGCG
rfam:Ixodes scapularis strain Wikel colony gcontig_1108378588618, whole genome shotgun sequence.